rnacentral:rRNA from 1 species
UACGUAGGGUGCGAGCGUUGUCCGGAAUUAUUGGGCGUAAAGGGCUCGUAGGCGGUUUGUCGCGUCGGGAGUGAAAUCCACUGGCUUAACUGGUGGCUUGCUUUCGAUACGGGGCAGACUGGAGGUAUGCAGGGGAGAACGGAAUUCCUGGUGUAGCGGUGAAAUGCGUAGAUAUCUGGAGGAACACCGGUGGCGAAGGCGGCGUCCUGGACCAACACUGGACACUGAGGAGCGAAAGCCAGGGGAGCAAACGGG